UACGGAGGAUGCGAGCGUUAUCCGGAUUUAUUGGGUUUAAAGGGUGCGUAGGCGGACUGUCAAGUCAGCGGUAAAAUUGAGAGGCUCAACCUCUUCCCGCCGUUGAAACUGGUGGUCUUGAGUGGAUGAGAAGUACGCGGAAUGCGUGGUGUAGCGGUGAAAUGCAUAGAUAUCACGCAGAACUCCGAUUGCGAAGGCAGCGUACCGGCAUCCAACUGACGCUGAGGCACGAAAGCGUAGGGAUCAAACAGG
rnacentral:rRNA from 1 species